rnacentral:rRNA from 1 species
AACCAGCACCUCAAGUGGUCAGGAGGAUUAUUGGGCCUAAAGCAUCCGUAGCCGGCUCUGUAAGUUUUCGGUUAAAUCUAUAUGCUCAACGUAUAGGCUGCCGAAAAUACUGCACAGCUAGGGAAUGGGAGAGGUAGACGGUACUCGGUAGGAAGGGGUAAAAUCCUUUGAUCUAUCGAUGACCACCUGUGGCGAAGGCGGUCUACCAGAACAUGUUCGACGGUGAGGGAUGAAGCCUAGGGGCACGAACCGG